AGCAGCGUAGCUGAACAUCUUACGGAUGGCCCAGGGCUCCAAAGGCUCGUUUCCUAAGUGAGAGAGAGCCUGGCUGAAGCUGUAUUACCAUUCAUUCUCCAGCCUCCGAAGUCUCAAAGCAUCACUUCCACCAUACUCUAACUGUCAAGACAAACACAAAGGCCCAGAAACUGCCAGACUGUCUUCUGAAGUGGCUAUAAUAUUUACACUCCCAUCAGCAGUGUAGAAGGGGUCUCACUAUGUUGUCUGGAGUGCUGUGGUGGAGUGGAGUGGCUAUUCACAGAGCCUGUUCUGCUGGGACACAGAAUCACUUGCUCCAUCUCAUACAUUGAUGAUGAUUAAUUUGUAUGUGUACCUUCCAAAAAAGAUGGUUGUGUUUGAAUGGAGGCCUUCUGGACAGGAAAAUAUGGAGAGUGCGUGCUUUGGAUUCAAGACUGGGAAUGAGGGGACCAGAAACCUAUUCUGUGGCUGUUUCUUGUUAGGACUUUCCUAAGCCUCUGGAAAAGACUAAUCUUUCCAAGUUCAUCUGAGGCUCCUCUUCUCCAUGACAACCUCAUCCAGGGAUUUCUUCCUGUCCUGGUGUUUUAUGACAUAAUCACAUCCUUCCUGAGAUAAUGAGCACACAAUUGCCUGGAUACCUGAAGGAAUGGAGACAGCGGCAGAAAACACUGCAGAGAGGUGGAAACAUCCGUUAAUAUUUUAAAAUCCCAUUACUGCUACCAACAAUAAUAAUGGAUGCAUAGAAAUAGAUCUGGAUUAGCUGAGCUUGAAACAGUCCAUCUCACACACACACAAAAGAAUUUCAGGUAAUGAAGAAAAGAAAAGGAAAAAAAUAACACAUGGCCUCUGUAACAUUGUUGCUUUUGAACCUUAUUGGAUUUGUGGCAAACUGGGUGCUUUUGGGACAUGAGUCUCCUACCACUCACCUGCCUCUGAGCUCUCCUCUGAGGCCGGUCACUGCCCAGAAGGGAUGCACCUGUCUUCUGUCCUGUGGUCUCUGGGUAGCCCCUGGGUCAGCAUUUUGGGUGCUAGCAUCUGAUGCAACUGCUACAGUUGCUGAUGAGAAAGUAGCUACCCUCCUCCACUCCACCCCUGCCGCCCAGGCCCUGCCACUCCUGCUAACCUGUCAGGCUACAUUUUCAAUUACUGGCUUUGAAAAAUGUCCAGGUGGAUUAAAUCAAUGAAUGCGAUGAGCUGAACACAA
rnacentral:lncRNA from 1 species